GAGUUUGAUCCUGGCUCAGAUUGAACGCUGGCGGCAGGCUUAACACAUGCAAGUCGAACGGUAACAGGAAGUAGCUUGCUAUUUUGCUGACGAGUGGCGGACGGGGGAGUAAUGCUUGGGAAUAUGCCUUAUGGUGGGGGACAACAGUUGGAAACGACUGCUAAUACCGCAUAACGUCUACGGACCAAAGGGGGGGAUCUUCGGACCUCUCGCGAUAGGAUGAGCCCAAGUGGGAUUAGCUAGUUGGUAAGGUAAUGGCUUACCAAGGCGACGAUCCCUAGCUGGUCUGAGAGGAUGAUCAGCCACACUGGAACUGAGACACGGUCCAGACUCCUACGGGAGGCAGCAGUGGGGAAUAUUGCACAAUGGGCGCAAGCCUGAUGCAGCCAUGCCGCGUGUGUGAAGAAGGCUCUAGGGCUGUAAAGCACUUUCAGCGAGGAGGAAAGGUUGUAAUUUAAUAGAUUGCAGCUGUGACGUUACUCGCAGAAGAAGCACCGGCUAACUCCGUGCCAGCAGCCGCGGUAAUACGGAGGGUGCGAGCGUUAAUCGGAAUUACUGGGCGUAAAGGGCGCGUAGGCGGUUUGUUAAGUGGGAUGUGAAAGCCCCGGGCUUAACCUGGGAACUGCAUUCAAAACUGUCUAGCUAGAGUACGAUAGAGGGGGGUAGAAUUUCAGGUGUAGCGGUGAAAUGCGUAGAGAUCUGAAAGAAUACCAGUGGCGAAGGCGGCCCCCUGGAUUGAUACUGACACUGAGGUGCGAAAGCGUGGGUAGCAAACAGGAUUAGAUACCCUGGUAGUCCAUGCCGUAAACGAUGUCAACUAGCCGUUGGAAGAUUUGAUCUUUUAGUGGCGCAGCUAACGCAAUAAGUUGACCGCCUGGGGAGUACGGCCGCAAGGUUAAAACUCAAAUGAAUUGACGGGGGCCCGCACAAGCGGUGGAGCAUGUGGUUUAAUUCGAAGCAACGCGAAGAAUUUUACCUACUCUUGACAUCCUCAGAACUUAGCAGAGAUGCUUUGGUGCCUUUGGGAACUGAGUGACAGGUGCUGUAUGGCUGUCGUCAGCUCGUGUUGUGAAAUGUUGGGUUAAGUCCCGUAACGAGCGCAACCCUUGUCCUUAUUUGCCAGCACGUAAUGGUGGGAAUUUUAAGGAGACUGCCGGUGAUAAACCGGAGGAAGGUGGGGACGACGUCAAGUCAUCAUGGCCCUUACGGGAUGGGCUACACACGUGCUACAAUGGCGAGUACAGAGGGCAGCAAUACCGCGAGGUGGAGCGAAUCCCACAAAGCUUGUCGUAGUCCGGAUCGGAGUCUGCAACUCGACUCCGUGAAGUCGGAAUCGCUAGUAAUCGUAGAUCAGAAUGCUACGGUGAAUACGUUCCCGGGCCUUGUACACACCGCCCGUCACACCAUGGGAGUGGGUUGCAAAAGAAGUGGCUAGUUUAACCUUCGGGAGGACGGUCACCACUUUGUGAUUCAUGACUGGGGUGAAGUCGUAACAAGGUAGCCCUAGGGGAACCUGGGGCUGGAUCACCUCCUU
rnacentral:rRNA from 1 species